rnacentral:lncRNA from 1 species
AAAUCCUCUCGACUAGGAUGCCAAAUCCAUAACUCAUAAUGCAUACUUGUUGUACAUUCAUUUGGCUAUGACCCAAUCUUACCGGUUAACUAUGUUAACCCCAAUAACUCACUACCAAAAUCCCUUAAUAACGGGAGACUCGAACCUCCCUGGGGACCGUCAUCUGGGGGGACUUUACCACGCCCAGUGGUGACCAACUCCGGAGCGCACCGCCUGAGGGGGAGCUACCUCCCUCAAGCCAAGACGUAACGUGAGUAUCGAUCCAAUCCUCAACUUAAGGAUUCAUAGCCACUCGUCACAAUGCCAAUGUCAUGAUAGGUCUCUACCUAUUUAAUCAUGCCACUCUCUAUGUCAACUUGGACCAAUGUCAAUAUGGUUAAACUAUAUUUAACAAUCACUUUCUUGAUGCCAAUCAUGUCUCUAUUGUCACUAUCACCCUUAUUUACUAAUGUUCAAGUCCAACUCUCACAUUUACACAAUAAUAGGGUCCUAACAUACAUGAAUGACACCAGAAUAUACAUGCUCAAUCACCACAAGUGUUUGCUAGGUUCAAGAUACUAGGUUGAAUGCCACUCGAUCUAAUAUACAUAUAGAUUGUCCACUAUGUUCCACAACAUGGCAAUAUGUCAUCAAAUAUGUUUUUCUAUUUAAUAUAAUCUAUAAUAUGUAAAUUCAUAAUAUAUCAUCAUGCACAUAUACCACUAGCAUCACAUGAUAUGUCAACAUACAUAUAGUCAUUAUCCAAAAUAUUCCAUACUUAGCAUCUCAUGCAUUCUUUUAGCACUUAAUUCAUUAUGCAUUACAUUUAGCAUAUUCUA